GGUGCUUGCAUCAUGAUUUACAUUUGAGUGAGUGGCGAACUGGUGAGUAACACGUGGGAAACCUGCCCAGAAGCGGGGGAUAACACCUGGAAACAGAUGCUAAUACCGCAUAACAACUUGGACCGCAUGGUCCGAGUUUGAAAGAUGGCUUCGGCUAUCACUUUUGGAUGGUCCCGCGGCGUAUUAGCUAGAUGGUGGGGUAACGGCUCACCAUGGCAAUGAUACGUAGCCGACCUGAGAGGGUAAUCGGCCACAUUGGGACUGAGACACGGCCCAAACUCCUACGGGAGGCAGCAGUAGGGAAUCUUCCACAAUGGACGAAAGUCUGAUGGAGCAACGCCGCGUGAGUGAAGAAGGGUUUCGGCUCGUAAAACUCUGUUGUUAAAGAAGAACAUAUCUGAGAGUAACUGUUCAGGUAUUGACGGUAUUUAACCAGAAAGCCACGGCUAACUACGUGCCAGCAGCCGCGGUAAUACGUAGGUGGCAAGCGUUGUCCGGAUUUAUUGGGCGUAAAGCGAGCGCAGGCGGUUUUUUAAGUCUGAUGUGAAAGCCUUCGGCUCAACCGAAGAAGUGCAUCGGAAACUGGGAAACUUGAGUGCAGAAGAGGACAGUGGAACUCCAUGUGUAGCGGUGAAAUGCGUAGAUAUAUGGAAGAACACCAGUGGCGAAGGCGGCUGUCUGGUCUGUAACUGACGCUGAGGCUCGAAAGUAUGGGUAGCAAACAGGAUUAGAUACCCUGGUAGUCCAUACCGUAAACGAUGAAUGCUAAGUGUUGGAGGGUUUCCGCCCUUCAGUGCUGCAGCUAACGCAUUAAGCAUUCCGCCUGGGGGAGUACGGCCGCAAGGCUGAAACUCAAAGGAAUUGACGGGGGCCCGCACAAGCGGUGGAGCAUGUGGUUUAAUUCGAAGCUACGCGAAGAACCUUACCAGGUCUUGACAUACUAUGCAAAUCUAAGAGAUUAGACGUUCCCUUCGGGGACAUGGAUACAGGUGGUGCAUGGUUGUCGUCAGCUCCUGUCCUGAAAUGUUUGGGUUAAGUCCCGCAACCAAGCGCAACCCUUAUAAUCAUUUGCCAGCAUUAAAUUUGGGCACUCCUGGUG
rnacentral:rRNA from 1 species